rnacentral:misc_RNA from 1 species
CAAAAAUACAUAUUUUUAUUAUUUUUAAAAACACCCUUCCCUCUCCUUGACCUAAUUUUUUUUUUUUUACCUCUUUUGGAAAUAAAUGGGAAGUGAAAAAAUGAUGAAAAUUAAUAUCAAAGAAUCAACACUAGUGAAACCAUCAAAACCAACACCAACAAAGAGAAUUUGGAGUUCUAAUUUGGAUUUAAUUGUUGGAAGAAUUCAUCUUUUGACUGUUUAUUUUUAUAAACCAAAUGGAUCUUCAAAUUUUUUUGAUAAUAAAGUUAUUAAAGAAGCAUUAAGUAAUGUUUUAGUUUCAUUUUAUCCAAUGGCUGGAAGAUUAGGUAGGGAUGAACAAGGUAGAAUUGAAGUUAAUUGUAAUGGUGAAGGUGUUUUGUUUGUUGAGGCUGAAAGUGAUUCAUGUGUUGAUGAUUUUGGUGAUUUUACACCAUCUUUGGAACUUAGAAAACUCAUUCCAAGUGUUGAAACCUCUGGAGAUAUCUCAACUUUCCCACUAGUUAUAUUUCAGAUUACUCGUUUCAAGUGUGGCGGAGUCGCUCUUGGUGGUGGAGUAUUCCACACGUUAUCCGAUGGUCUCUCAUCCAUCCACUUCAUCAACACGUGGUCGGACAUCGCCCGUGGCCUCUCCGUCGCAGUCCCGCCGUUCAUCGAUCGGACGCUCCUCCGUGCAAGGGACCCACCGACAUCUUCUUUCGAGCACGUUGAGUACCAUCCUCCACCUACCCUAAACUCAUCGAAAAAUCGCGAGUCCAGUACCACGACCAUGUUGAAAUUCUCGAGUGAACAACUCGGGCUUCUUAAGUCCAAGUCCAAAAAUGAGGGUAGCACCUAUGAAAUCCUCGCAGCCCAUAUUUGGCGAUGCACGUGCAAGGCACGUGGAUUGCCAGAGGAUCAAUUGACCAAAUUACACGUGGCCACCGACG